CACAGGGAGCCCGGGGCCAAUCGGCUCUUGCAGACGAUCAAAUGUCACUAUAAGUUGAGAGCUGCAUCCCCUUGGGACGCUCGCAGAUCCCAGCCUGCCCGUCCCCUCCGACAGGAGCUUGGUGCUUCUCUCCACUCCUCCCAGAAACUAAUUGCCAGCAUGUCUGAUACCGAGGAAGUGGAGCAAGGAGAGGCUCAGGAAGAAGAAGAGGCUCAGGAGGAAGCUCCUCCAGCAGGUACGUGCCAUACCUUCCCAACUGCUCCCUGCUGUCUCCUUGGUGGUGGUGGUGGGGACUCAAGGGUGGUGAAAGAGGAGCAGCUCCAGCCACUUUGCCUUUUUGCUUCUGCUGUCUUUGCUGUCCAUGUCCCCUCUGUGAUGGGCUCUGCCAGUGGCCAACACACAGGAAUCAUCUCAGUGCAAGGUCUGGCAGAGUUAGCUCAGUGCAAACCCCUGCUCUGUGCAGGGCUCACCAUAAAGCCCAUCUGGGCAAGGGCAGGAGCCGUCCUCUAA
rnacentral:lncRNA from 1 species